UAAAGUAAGAUCUAUUCAUGAAACUGACUUUACAUUACUUCCUAAAUAAAAGAAGGCUAUUCCCACAUUGCCCCCAGCACUGUGUUUGAACACCCCGGUGACUAGGAACACGGCGCACACCUGUAGUGCCAGCUACUCGAGAAGCUGAGGCAGGAGAAUCGCUUGAACCCGGGAGGCGGAGGUUGUGGUGAACCGAGAUCGCUCCGGGAGGAAUGAACCA
rnacentral:lncRNA from 1 species